AUGCCGCGUGCAGGAAGACGGUCCUAUGGAUUGUAAACUGCUUUUAUACGGGAAGAAACACACCCUCGUGAGGGAGCUUGACGGUACCGUAAGAAUAAGGAUCGGCUAACUCCGUGCCAGCAGCCGCGGUAAUACGGAGGAUCCAAGCGUUAUCCGGAAUCAUUGGGUUUAAAGGGUUCGUAGGCGGUUUAAUAAGUCAGUGGUGAAAUCUGGUCGCUCAACGAUCAAACUGCCAUUGAUACUGUUAAGCUUGAAUCAUUGUGAAGUAACUAGAAUAUGUAGUGUAGCGGUGAAAUGCUUAGAUAUUACAUGGAAUACCAAUUGCGAAGGCAGGUUACUAACAAUGUAUUGACGCUGAUGAACGAAAGCGUGGGUAGCGAACAGGAUUAGAUACCCUGGUAGUCCACGCCGUAAACGAUGGAUACUAGCUGUUUGGAGCAAUCUGAGUGGCUAAGCGAAAGUGAUAAGUAUCCCACCUGGGGAGUACGCACGCAAGUGUGAAACUCAAAGGAAUUGACGGGGGCCCGCACAAGCGGUGGAGCAUGUGGUUUAAUUCGAUGAUACGCGAGGAACCUUACCAAGGCUUAAAUGGGAAGCGACAGCUUAGGAAACUAGGCCUUCUUCGGACGCUUUUCAAGGUGCUGCAUGGUUGUCGUCAGCUCGUGCCGUGAGGUGUCAGGUUAAGUCCUAUAACGAGCGCAACCCCUGUUGUUAGUUGCCAGCGAGUCAAGUCGGGAACUCUAGCAAGACUGCCGGUGCAAACCGUGAGGAAGGUGGGGAUGACGUCAAAUCAUCACGGCCCUUACGCCUU
rnacentral:rRNA from 1 species